rnacentral:rRNA from 1 species
AUUGAACGCUGGCGGCAUGCCUUACACAUGCAAGUCGAACGGUAACAGGUCUUCGGAUGCUGACGAGUGGCGAACGGGUGAGUAAUACAUCGGAACGUGCCUAGUAGUGGGGGAUAACUACUCGAAAGAGUGGCUAAUACCGCAUGAGAUCUACGGAUGAAAGCAGGGGAUCGCAAGACCUUGUGCUACUAGAGCGGCCGAUGGCAGAUUAGGUAGUUGGUGGGAUAAAAGCUUACCAAGCCGACGAUCUGUAGCUGGUCUGAGAGGACGAUCAGCCACACUGGGACUGAGACACGGCCCAGACUCCUACGGGAGGCAGCAGUGGGGAAUUUUGGACAAUGGCCUGAUCCAGCAAUGCCGCGUGCAGGAUGAAGGCCUUCGGGUUGUAAACUGCUUUUGUACGGAACGAAAAGCCCUGGGUUAAUACCCUGGGGUCAUGACGGUACCGUAAGAAUAAGCACCGGCUAACUACGUGCCAGCCGCCGCAGUAAAAC